rnacentral:pre_miRNA from 1 species
UAAGUACUCCCUCCGUCCAAAAAUACUUGUCAUAGAAAUAGAUGUAUCUAGAUGUAUUUUAGUUCUAGAUACAUCCAUUUUUAUCCAUUUUUCUGACAAGUAUUUCCGAACGGAGGGAGUAGGAU